AUUGAACGCUGGCGGCAGGCCUAACACAUGCAAGUCGAGCGGAUGAAGGGAGCUUGCUCCUGGAUUCAGCGGCGGACGGGUGAGUAAUGCCUAGGAAUCUGCCUGGUCGUGGGGGAUAACGUCCGGAAACGGGCGCUAAUACCGCAUACGUCCUGAGGGAGAAAGUGGGGGUUCUUCGGACCUCACGCUAUCAGAUGAGCCUAGGUCGGAUUAGCUAGUUGGUGGGGUAAAGGCCUACCAAGGCGACGAUCCGUAACUGGUCUGAGAGGAUGAUCAGUCACACUGGAACUGAGACACGGUCCAGACUCCUACGGGAGGCAGCAGUGGGGAAUAUUGGACAAUGGGCGAAAGCCUGAUCCAGCCAUGCCGCGUGUGUGAAGAAGGUCUUCGGAUUGUAAAGCACUUUAAGUUGGGAGGAAGGGCAGUAAGUUAAUACCUUGCUGUUUUGACGUUACCAACAGAAUAAGCACCGGCUAACUUCGUG
rnacentral:rRNA from 1 species